CCCUAGCCCCGAUUGCAGUGGUUACCCCGCAACAAGCCUUGGGAAAAGUUUUGGCGUGAGGAGUAUGAGCGGAAAGCGGGAAAUAGC
rnacentral:misc_RNA from 1 species